UUCUGGCUCAGGAUGAACGCUAGCGGCAGGCUUAACACAUGCAAGUCGAGGGGCAGCGGGAUGUAGCAAUACAUUGCCGGCGACCGGCGGAUGGGUGCGUAACGCGUAUGCAACCUACCUUAUACAGGGGAAUAACCUUUCGAAAGGGAGACUAACACCCCAUAGUAUUGAUUUAAGGCAUCUUAGAUUAAUUAAAUAUUUAUAGGUAUAAGAUGGGCAUGCGUAUGAUUAGCUAGUUGGUAAGGUAACGGCUUACCAAGGCGACGAUCAUUAGGGGUUCUGAGAGGAAGGUCCCCCACACUGGUACUGAGACACGGACCAGACUCCUACGGGAGGCAGCAGUGAGGAAUAUUGGUCAAUGGGCGCAAGCCUGAACCAGCCAUGCCGCGUGCAAGGAAGACGGCCUUAUGGGUUGUAAACUGCUUUUACAUAAGACUAACCGUAUAUUUGCGAAUAUACCUGAAUGUAUUAUGAGAAUAAGGAUCGGCUAACUCCGUGCCAGCCGCCGC
rnacentral:rRNA from 1 species